UGGGGGAUAUUGCACAAUGGGGGAAACCCUGAUGCAGCGACGCCGCGUGGGUGAAGAAGUAUUUCGGUAUGUAAAGCCCUAUCAGCAGGGAAGAAAGAAGACGGUACCUGACUAAGAAGCCCCGGCUAACUACUUGCC
rnacentral:rRNA from 1 species